rnacentral:rRNA from 1 species
AUAGCGUAUAUUAAAGUUGUUGCAGUUAAAAAGCUCGUAGUUGAACCUUGGGCCUGGCUGGGAGGUCCGCCUCACCGCGUGUACUUGUCCGGCCGGGCCUUCCUUCUGGAGAACCUCAUGCCCUUCACUGGGCGUGUUGGGGACCAGGACUUUUACUUUGAAAAAAUUAGAGUGUUCAAAGCAGGCCUUUGCUCGAAUACGUUAGCAUGGAAUAAUAGAAUAGGACGUGCGGUUCUAUUUUGUUGGUUUCGAGAGCCGCCGUAAUGAUUAAUAGGGAUAGUCGGGGGCAUCAGUAUUCAAUUGUCAGAGGUGAAAUUCUUGGAUUUAUUGAAGACUAACUACUG